GAUGAACGCUGGCGGCGUGCCUAAUACAUGCAAGUAGAACGCUGAAGGAAGGAGCUUGCUCUUUCCGGAUGAGUUGCGAACGGGUGAGUAACGCGUAGGUAACCUGCCUGGUAGCGGGGGAUAACUAUUGGAAACGAUAGCUAAUACCGCAUAACAGUAGAUGUUGCAUGAUAUCUACUUAAAAGGUGCAAUUGCACCACUACCAGAUGGACCUGCGUUGUAUUAGCUAGUUGGUGAGGUAACGGCUCACCAAGGCGACGAUACAUAGCCGACCUGAGAGGGUGAUCGGCCAAACUGGGACUGAGACACGGCCCAGACUCCUACGGGAGGCAGCAGUAGGGAAUCUUCGGCAAUGGACGGAAGUCUGACCGAGCAACGCCGCGGGAGUGAAGAAGGGUUUCGGAUCGUAAAGCUCUGUUGUAAGAGAAGAACGAGUGUGAGAGUGGAAAGUUCACACUGUGACGGUAUCUUACCAGAAAGGGACGGCUAACUACGUG
rnacentral:rRNA from 1 species